GACGGAGGGUGCAAGCGUUGUUCGGAAUUACUGGGCGUAAAGCGCGGGCAGGUGGCCCUUUAAGUCCUUUGUGAAAUUCCGGAGCUCAACUCCGGAUGUGCAUAGGAUACUGGAAGGCUAGAGACUGGUAGAGGCGAGCGGAAUUCCUGGUGUAGCGGUGAAAUGCGUAGAUAUCUGGAGGAACACCGGUGGCGAAGGCGGCAUCCUGGACCGGUAUUGACGCUGAGGCGCGAAAGCUAGGGGAGCAAACGGG
rnacentral:rRNA from 1 species